rnacentral:misc_RNA from 1 species
UCUGCGAACACCAAGCCAUGGAUCUCUAAGAAGCCGAUCAGUUACAAGUCCGUGGCAAAGAUUCGGAAGGACCAUUCAUUGAGAAAUCCAUUGGCCCGAGAACCCUGCCCUUCUGGAGUUAAUUUUUGUUUACCAAUUAAUACACUACACUAAUCCUGAGACGUCCAAAGCCGAUCUGGAAGCGGGUGCUUUCAGAUCCCUGGUAAAAACUCUGAGAGACACAUCCACGAAUCAAUCGGUUUGAGUUCAAUAUUAUACUACCAUACUAAAUACCAAAUAUACUGAUGGAUACCUGAGACGUUGGAUGCCUUGACAAAAUGUGCAAGGUAUACACUUUUUUAUACACAAAUACAAAUGUAUAUGCCCUCUGCUGUAACUAUUGAUUGGCCCCGAUCGAUAAGUUACGAGAAGUACUCCCAUGAAGAAUGGAAUCUACACAAAUUUCUGGUAAAGACUCUAAGAGACACAUCCACGAAUCAAUCGGUUUGAGUUCAAUAUUAUACUACCAUACUAAAUACCAAAUAUACUGAUGGAUACCUGAGACGUUGGAUGCCUUGACAAAAUGUGCAAGGUAUACACUUUUUUAUACACAAAUACAAAUGUAUAUGCCCUCUGCUGUAACUAUUGAUUGGCCCCGAUCGAUAAGUUACGAGAAGUACUCCCAUGAAGAAUGGAAUCUACACAAAUUUCUGGUAAAGACUCUAAGAGACACAUCCACGAAUCAAUCGGUUUGAGUUCAAUAUUAUACUACCAUACUAAAUACCAAAUAUACUGAUGGAUACCUGAGACGUUGGAUGCCUUGACAAAAUGUGCAAGGUAUACACUUUUUUAUACACAAAUACAAAUGUAUAUGCCCUCUGCUGUAACUAUUGAUUGGCCCCGAUCGAUAAGUUACGAGAAGUACUCCCAUGAAGAAUGGAAUCUACACAAAUUUCUGGUAAAAACUCUGAGAGACACAUCCGUGAAUCAAUCGGUUGGAGUUCAAUAUUAUACUACCAUACUAAGUAUCAAAUAUACUAAUGGAUGGAUCACUGAGACGUUGAAUGCCUUGACAAAAUGUGCAAGGUAUACACUUUUUUAUACACAAAUACAAAUGUAUACGCCCGAAAACAAUGCCCUCUGCUUAAACUAUUGAUUGGCCUCGAACGAUUGGAAAAUAUAAAUCUACAAAAAAGAAAGCAAAGAAUGUACACAAAUCCCUGGUCAAGAAUCGGAAGGACCAUACACGAAUCCGUAAGCGGCAAGUCUAAUUUUUUUCUUUUGGAAAAUCGACACUGAAAAAUUCCUGAGAGGUCACAAGCUAAGGAAAGGAGAAGAUCAAGCCGAGGGAAGAUCCUGGAUACCGGUCACAACAUUGAGAUCUAUGGCAAAUAAUCCAAAGGACAGUUCAACCAGGACACCUGUCUGCUGAAAUCAGCCAAGAAAACUGUACAGGAUCUUUUAGCAAAGACUCCAAGUGACUCUCGAAUUAAUAAAAAUUGUCUGUGUAUAAGAAA